rnacentral:rRNA from 1 species
UAGUCCACGCCGUAAACGAUGAUUACUAGGCGUUCGGAGUGUUAACCCUCUGAGUGCCGCAGCUCACGCAUUAAGUAAUCCGCCUGGGGAGUACGGUCGCAAGGCUAAAACUCAAAGGAAUUGACGAGGGCCCGCACAAGCGGUGGAGUAUGUGGUUUAAUUCGAAGCAACGCGCAGAACCUUACCUAGACUUGACAUCCCGCGACCGCUAUAGAGAUAUAGUUUUCCCUUCGGGGACGCGGUGACAGGUGCUGCAUGGCUGUCGUCAGCUCGUGUUGUGAAAUGUUGGGUUAAGUCCCGCAACGAGCGCAACCCUUGUCCUUAGUUGCCAGCAUUAAGUUGGGCACUCUGGGGAGACUGCCGGUGUUAAACCGGAGGAAGGCGGGGAUGACGUCAAGUCCUCAUGGCCCUUACGGGUAGGGCUACACACGUGCUACAAUGGCGCUGACAGAGGGUUAAUCCCUAAAAGGCGUCUCAGUUCGGAUUGUCUUCUGCAACUCGAAGACAUGAAGUUGGAAUCG